GGGCGAUUAACUCAGCUGGUAGAGUGUCUCGUUUACACCGAGGUUGUCGUAGGUUCGAGUCCUGCAUCGCCCACCA
rnacentral:tRNA from 1 species